rnacentral:lncRNA from 1 species
GCUCUGUUGCAGAACAAAAACCCGAAAUCAGUCAAAAAUAAGUAACAUGUCAAUAAUUGAAACUACAUGUAAAGUGAAAAUUUUCCAUUACCUUGCACAUGUUUGGAGGGCAGAGACUGCAGCCAUGGGAAGAUGAGGUGAAAUCAUGGUGAGGGAAGAUCCUGAGCCUCCCUUCUUCAUCUACAAAACUGGGGUUUGUGUUGAUCUCCGAAAAGCAGUCCUCUAGGCCGAGAUGCUUCAGAAUCGUCUCGAUAAAGAAGAGAUUCGCAUCACUUACUAUCUUCAAAUCACACCUAGAAUAAUACGUAGUUCCAUUCAUUGUCACCUUCCCAAAGAGAAAAGUUUGGUACCAAGUAACUGAAAAGAAAAAAGAUGGAAAUAUAUAUACCCUAAAGCAUGGGCUGAUUUAAUGGCUGGAACCGCCCUUGGAUGUAUUGGAACCCUCUUGAGAACCUCUGCAAUGUCAUCAAUGGUCUUCCCCUGUGAAUGAAGCUCCCUCAUCAUUCUAUCCUGUACCACAUUCACCAAAGAACAUUGAGGACAAUGCAGUUCACCAACUGAAACAAAAACAGAAUUGAUAAUGAAAAAAUCAACUAACCAUGAGGGAAUUCCAGGGCAUGGUGGGGAGGAGUUGAUUGAACAAAUCAGUGGCGCCCAACUCAUCCACCACCCAAUUAUCACUGUCGACGUCGAUGAUCGUCUUGUCGAAGUCGAAAACCACCACAAUUCCUGCCAUUUUCUCUCUUUCCAAACACCUAGUUAACUUCUUUUCUCUCCACAGAUGCUCUGAUGCCAAUCCACCCCAGCCACAUGGGGUAUUUAUACAACCAAAACAUGAUGGCAGAAGGCAGCCGUGCAUGAAUGUCUUUUUUGAUGCCAAAGAAUAUUACCUCAAGUACUUCUGGUAAAGUUGAUGGAAACCAUUCAAGUCAAUUUGCAGUUGGACUCUUGUCAUUAUUGUCUACUUCUCAAAGCAACUUAAUACACAGCUUCCAGCCAUCUCACCUGUCAGAUUAUCCGACAUAAGCUUGGUCAACAAAUCCGACGGUUCAAGCAACCCCCCUACUGUACAGACAUUGUGGUGGUUAGGCAAAGACGCGGGGAAUAUCUGAAUAUUCCGUUCGAAUUAAAUUCUGUGUCCGCCUCUGCCCCAACUGACAAAGAGAAUAUUCCGUUUUGGUGCUGCGAUUCUUGAUCAGUGGGUAGCUUUUCCCACGCGCUUUGUUAAUGGGCGGCUAUUUUAAUUUAUUUAUUUAAUUUUGGUCCACGAGAUCCUACUAACUUGGUCCAAUAAAAUCAACUCUGAAUGACUCAAUUUUAUAUUUAAAAAAUUAUGAUAUUUUUAAGAUUAAGUUAAAUAAAAAUCAGUAUUAUCCUAUUUAAAAAUAAUUUGAAAUAUAUAUCAUUUUUAAUGACUCAUUUAAAUAUUUUUUUAAAAUUUCUAUUUUAUUUAACAUGUCAUUAAUAUCAAUUAACAACUAAAUUUUUUUAUGUAAAUGUUUCCUUUUCAUUUACAUUUGUUCUUUAUUAUUAUUAUUAUUUUAGAUUUUUUUUCCAUAAAAAAAGUUGAAAAUUUUGUUUUUCUCCAUAAACGAACAUUUCAUAACAAAUAUGAGAAAUGAAGGUCAAUUGAUAUUCAGAAAGGGAAACAUGCACAUGAAGGAGCCUAGUUAUAAAUUGUUAUUAAUGACAUAACAAGUAAACUUGAUAUUUUAGGAAAUAAUUAUAUGACUUAUUAAAAAAUGCAUAUAUUUUAAAUUAUUUUUAAAUAGAUAAAAAUAAUAUUGAUUUAAAAAAAACCUGAGAUUUUUUUUUCUAUAUAUUUUCAUAUUAGUAAGUUAAAACUCAUUCCCCCUCCCCCCCCAAAAAAAAAAAAAAAAGAGUACAAGUCAAUAUUAACCAGUGGACACCAAAAGAGAGUCUCGUCAAAAACAAGAUGCCUCGAGGCAUAAACUCAAGUCAUGGAGGGAUCCAAGUAAGUGAUGUGAAGGACUAUGAUUCUCAAAUGUCGGAAAACAGAAUAUGAUACGAUAAAAUAAAAUGCAAUAAAAACAAGAACAUAAAUAAAUGGGUAGAAUGAAGAAUUUUUUAUUUUUUAUUAUUGAAUAUAUUCCUCCGUUUUGAAAUUUCAUUAAAUUUUUGUGAGUUAUAAAUUCACAUAUUGAGGUAUUAUUAGGCUUUGAUUGAUGAAACUUAAAAAAAUAAAAAAUAAAUAAAUAAAAGGCACUUAUAUGGUAUUCAAAUUAGGCUCCUAGUUCCACCAUCCCAGAAGCUACUUAGAUAAUUUUAUUCACAUAUUUUUGUAAAACAGAAUCUCACAAGACCAAAGUUCAAAGUUCCAAUUUCUGUCAACUUUCUAACAAAAAAAUAUGCCUCCAGGCACCAACACCAACCAAAAAUGUGCCCAAAUAUUUAUUCAAAGCUUCACAUUCACGCGCCCUCGGUGCGAACUGGUCUUGUCUGCUGCGCUUACAAAAUUUUCUUUUUUUUAAAUUCCUACCCGUUUGGAAACAUUGUGUUUGAGACGUUUGGACUAAUGAUAGUGGAGGCCAUCAUGGCAAGAUUGGGAAUGACGUGUCAUCAUUUAGGAAUAUUAUUUAUUAUUUUAUUAGCUUCAAGGGACUAGUGGAAUAUUCCAUAUGGGCAUGGAAAAUCUUUUUUUUUCAAUUAUAAAAAAUGGCCAUGUGUAGGGUUUUUUUAUUAUCUCGUUACGGGUUACCAUAAAAAAAGAUUCAUGAUGAGUUUAGGAUAGAUUCAAGAUUGAAAGUGACAUGUCAUCAUUUAAGAUUAUCAUCUAUUAUUUUAUUAGUUUGAUCGGACUAGUGAAAUAUUCUAUAAUCAUAAAAUAAAUUAAUUUUUUAUUUUAUUUUAUUUUUAUUAUAAAAAUUAUGCAUGUGUAAUUGACGAUGUUUGAAGGAUUCUAACAAAAGAUGACCAUGUGCGGUUUUUCAAAUGCAUGGGUCUCGCUUGGCAGCUUUCUAAUAGAAAAUAUGCUUGCAACGCAACCCAAAUUCAAAGCUUCACAUCCACGCGCCACCGGUGCGGCUUGGCCUUGUUUGCUGUCAUUUCAAAUUGCUGGUUUUAGUUGUUAAUCAUUUUUUAAAUUCCCACCCUUUUUGAAACAUUGUAUUUGAGACGCUUGUGAUAAUGCUGGUGGAGGUAGAAUAAAGGCCAACAUGGCAGGAUUUGGAAUGACAUGUCAUCGUUCAGGAUUAUUAUCCUUUAUUUUGGACUAGUGGAAUAUCUAAGGGCAUGGAAUAGAAUUUUUUUUUUAGGCCAUGAGAAUUGAGCAUGUGCAGUUGGUAAUGUUUGAUGAGUUGCAGCAAAAAGUGACCUUGCUUCUUCUUUAAGUGAAGGUAGGUUCCAACUUAUGUGGGUUGUUCCGAAAUUCGAAUCCAAUCCGAGUGAAUUUUGAUAAUCGUUUUCAAUAUUUGAAUUAGGUUUGGAUUGACUUUUUUUAAUCUAAGUUUAAUUUGAAUUAGGUUGAAGCCAAUAUUUUAUAAUGUAUAUUAUCUUAUAUAAUAAUAUUUAUUUUAAUUUUUUAAAAAAAAUAUAUCAUAUUAUAUUAUAUACUUUUUUAUUAUUUUAUAUAGAUAUAUAAAUUUAUUUUUAGUUUUUUUUUAUUGUUAUCUUAAAAUUUUGCAUUAUUUACUAUUUAAAUUAUUAUAUAAAUAUAUAAAAAAAUUUAAUUUAUAAAUGAAUUUUGAAUUAUGCAAUUCGAUUCAUCCAAUCAAUCCAAGCCUAAUCCAAUUAACUCGAACUCAAUCCAAACUUAAAAAAUGAGAUUUGUUUAAACUUGGAUGGAGUGCCUCAAGUUAGAGUUCAAAUUGAGUUGAGCUAGUUCUUUUUAAUUCAAAUUGAGUUUGGAUUAGCCAUUAACCUAACUACCCCACUCAAGUUGUAGUCCUAAUGAAAAGUAGGUUGUUAUCACGACUUUCAAGUUAAGUUCUUUUUUAAGUUAUAAGUUUUUUUUUUUAAUAAAACCAAUCAAAUAAAUAUGAAAAAGGCUAUUAGUUAUAUAGUGUCAGGGGCACUUUCCACUUUCCUCUAUUUGAUGUAUGAUAUCACAAAUUUAAAUUUAAAAAAAAAAUAGCCUUAAUUUUUAUAAUUUAAUGAAAAUAAAGUAGAAAUGGAUACUAUAAAAUUAAAAAAAAAAUAUUCUAUAUUUUUCUGAGAUGGUUCACUCGAGAAUUAGAUUCAAUGCCAUAAAAGAUGAGUUCAGGUUUUCAUUGAUUUUAGAUGUAACGAUAAAACCUUGAGCUCAAGGUUAUGAGUUCGGGUCAUGAUAAAAGAUCGAUCCAACAAAUAGUAUCAAAGCUUAUGAGUUCGGUAUAGGUGAGAUGGUCAAAACCCGAUUUAAAACUUUUUUAGGCAUUAACAAAACCUUUUAUUUUUAUUGCAUUUUCCUCGUGAGUAGUGAUGCAAAGGUCACAAAAGAGGCAAGUAGUUAGAGGCAUGUGUAUUACACAGGGUGCCUAGGCCUAUACAAAGCAGUUGUACAUGCCCUUCAAGCUCACAUGAAACUCCACCCUCCCCUCCACCAACUUAUUUGAAUUGGUGUCCAUAUCUUUGAGUCUAAUUGCAAAAAAAAAUAUCUUGUAUAUGAAAGGGAUUGAUAUUAGAUGAAGCAAACUAGUGCUGUAUUUCAGUUUGAUCUGUUUUUCGUGUCAGAAACACAGCACUAGGCUCUGGUAUACAUAUGUUAAAGGGGGAAAAACAGUUGAUCCCAAGAAGAAAAAAACAAAGGGAUGUAAUUAAUGGCCAACAAUGGGGGAUUCAUAGAAGAACUAAUGAGGAACUGGGAGAGCUUGAGGCAGGGCUUGGGCAGCCAUUGUCUCAAACUUGCAGUCUACAGAUAUCAACUGGGCAGCAGCUGAGUUGUUGUUAGCAUUGUUUUCUUCUGAAAUUUUCUUGAUCAGGUGGAGCAGACCAUGCUCCAGCUCUUCCCCAUCACUCCAUUCAUGAACCUCUGCCUUUAUGAGAUUGGGAUUUCUGCAGAUCAAAUCCCACAGCGGGAAGUUCUUCCUUGGCAUGACAUAGUCUCCAUCUCCCAGCUUCAAACUCGGGCAGAAGUCACCGCUUCCGUCUCCAAGGUAGAUGAAUUUUUCUGUGGAUAUAGAAGCCUGAAUCCUCUUUAUCACCAUGCCCUGUUGCAGAAAAAAUUCAAAAUCAGUAACAUAUAUGAAUUGAAUUGAAUUGAAACUAGGUAUGUAGACUGAAAAUCUUCCAUUACCUUACACAUGUUUGGAGGGCAGAGACUGCAGCCAUGGGAAGAUGAGGUGAAAUCAUGGUGAGGGAAGAUCCUGAGCCUUCCUUCUUCAUCUACAAAACUGGGGUUGGUGUUGAUCUCCGAAAAACAGUCCAUUACGCCAAGAUGCUUCAGAAUCGUCUCGAUAAAGAAGAGAUUCGCAUCACUUACUAUCUUCAA